AAGUAGCUCCAGCAGCACCCGAGAGGGUCAGGAGAAAAGCGGAGGAAGCUGGGUAGGCCCUGAGGGGCCUCGGUAAGCCAUCAUGACCACCCGGCAAGCCACGAAGGAUCCCCUCCUCCGGGGUGUAUCUCCUACCCCUAGCAAGAUUCCGGUACGCUCUCAGAAACGCACGCCUUUCCCCACUGUUACAUCGUGCGCCGUGGACCAGGAGAACCAAGAUCCAAGGGUAAGAGGGGCCUAAUGGGGGAAGACAGUAGUCACACCAGUAAUGCACCCCAACACUAAACCUCACCUUUUUGUCCCCGCUCCCUCCCCUAGAGAUGGGUGCAGAAACCACCGCUCAAUAUUCAACGCCCCCUCGUUGAUUCAGCAGGCCCCAGGCCGAAAGCCAGGCACCAGGCAGAGACAUCACAAAGAUUGGUGGGGAUCAGUCAGCCUCGGAACCCCUUGGAAGAGCUCAGGCCUAGCCCUAGGGGUCAAAAUGUGGGGCCUGGGCCCCCUGCCCAGACAGGUACCUGUUGGAGCCAUGGUAACACGGCCUCCAUGGCUGAGUAGGGGACUAGGAAGGGUAAAAGUGGGGUUUUGGGGUUUUGCACUCACUCCUGCUGUCUCCUACUUACUGUGAUAGUCCUGGUCCCAGCUCCUGGAAAGCUCUUUGCUCUUAGAAGAUCUCCCUUUCCUCCAGCAAAAUGUCAUCUCGCCAGGUGCCAUGGCUUGUACCUGUAAUCACAGCUACUCAGGAGGCUGAAGCAGGAGGAUCACUGGAGGCCAGGAGUUGGAGACCAGCCUGGAUGACAGAGGGAGAUCCCAUCUCUUUAAAAAAUAAAUAAAUAAAUAAA
rnacentral:lncRNA from 10 species